AUGGGAAAAGAAGAAGCCAGCCACGACAAAACAAGAGUCGAUUCCAGGCUAAGUCGUCGUCUAAGUUGCCCUGAACGUGGGGUGCAACAGCCGACCGAGCUCCUCGUCUUCCGCGUCCAGCGGCCCGCCGGUCUCAUUCCUGACGCGCUGCACGGCGGUGCCGUUGAGCGACUCGUGGCCGAACCCGUACAGCCUCAGUAUCUGGUCGUCGGCGAAGUUGAAGGCGCGCUCCAUCCCGAGGCGGCAGCGGUCCGCCGGAUAGCUGUCGGCGUACCGCCGGCACGGCUUGCACCCGACGAAGUGCGUCACGAGCGGCCAGGCGCCCUCCCGCCGCAGCUCCUCGUACCUGUCCACGAUGAGCUCCCAGAAGCCGUUGAGCUCGUACGAGUUCUCGAAGAAGACCUUGUCCCCCCACCUCUCCCGCUGCGUGACGAGCAGGUAGAUGAGCGCCGACUGGUCGUCGGCCUCGAACGGCGGGCGGCCGGAGAGCUCCCUGGCGAAGAGCUCGCCGUAGCUGUCGCGCACGGGGCCGCGGGGCCCCAUGGGUGCCAUCGCGUGGAGGAGGUCGAGCGACCACUGGCAGUUGCGGAUGAGGAUGCUGCCGGUGUUGACGCCCACCCAGCUCUUCUCCUCGUACACCUUGGCCUCCCAGCCGUGGAGCACCAGGUUGUGCGCCGCGUAGCGCUCCCACGGCAGCUCGAACCGCAUGUCCGUGAACACCGCGUCCGAGUCCACCCACCACAGGAGCUCCACCUCCGGGUGCGCCAUCAUCAGCGACCGCAGCAGCGGCAGCUUCGCCCAGAACCCGGUCAUCUCCGCGUCCAGGAACGCCGUGUUGUAGUACACCUCCAGGCCGUGGACGCGGCAGUAGUCCGCCUUGUUCUUGAACGCGCGCAGCAGCAGGUGGUCGCCGUCCGGGUCGGGGCACCGUGCCGGCGCGGACCCGGUCACCACCAGCACCCGCGGCCGGCCCGCGGGCGGCACGCGCGCGGGGAACUCCGGGUGCGCGGCGAGCCACGCGGACCGGCGCGCGUCGUAGUCCAGGAUGGUGCGGCCCAGCGAGUAGGGCGGGUCCGUGAGCUGCCGGGGCGGCGGGAGGCCGAUGUCUUCGUCGCUCACGUUGGCGGCUGCGGGCGGCACCGCUGGCGGAGCUGCGGUGGCAAUGUGGAUGGGGUUGCUGAACACGACGCGGAGGCUGGGGAGGGUGAGGAUGGAGUCGGUCGGGCCGAGGAUGAGGAGCAGCGCGCCGGUGAGCAAGAGAAGGAACACGAGGGGGAUGGUGGUGCUUCCCGCUGCCGGGCAGCCGUAGUGCGGCCGCCAGCGCACGCCGUUGGCCGGCUUGCCGUCGUGCUGCUCCGCCAUCACUGCUAUGCUGUCGCUAGCCACAGAAGCUGUCCGGCGCCGCGCGUUGCACGCACCUUCCAUCGGCGAUGGUUUAACCAUCAUGUGGCGAACGUCGUCAACGGGAGAGGGGAGUCGAGCUCGAGUGGUGCAUGGCACGCUCUUGUUCCCACUUCCCACUACGAACCAAGUAAGAAUGGGGAUCACGAUGAGGGAGGGAAGGAGGGGGUACCGUAG
rnacentral:rRNA from 1 species